GACGAACGCUGGCGGCGUGCCUAAUACAUGCAAGUAGAACGCUGAAGAGAGGAGCUUGCUCUUCUUGAAUGAGUUGCGAACGGGUGAGUAACGCGUAGGUAACCUGCCUUGUAGCGGGGGAUAACUAUUGGAAACGAUAGCUAAUACCGCAUAACAAUGGGUGACACAUGUCAUUUAUUUGAAAGGGGCAAUUGCUCCACUACAAGAUGGACCUGCGUUGUAUUAGCUAGUAGGUGAGGUAACGGCUCACCUAGGCGACGAUACAUAGCCGACCUGAGAGGGUGAUCGGCCACACUGGGACUGAGACACGGCCCAGACUCCUACGGGAGGCAGCAGUAGGGAAUCUUCGGCAAUGGGGGCAACCCUGACCGAGCAACGCCGCGUGAGUAAAGAAGGUUUUCGGAUCGUAAAGCUCUGUUGUAAGUCAAGAAUGAGUGUGAGAGUGGAAAGUUCACACUGUGACGGUAGCUUACCAGAAAGGGACGGCUAACUACGUGC
rnacentral:rRNA from 1 species